GGGAGGCUAUGACUUUGUUAUCUCCAUAACAUUAUCAUUUUAAGGAUCUAAUAAUUUAGAGAAUUUGAUUUUAAUAAUUUGACAAGCAAUUGAUCGACGAGUCUUAAAUCCUCCUACAGACUUCAUCAAAUCAUGAAGAGGACUAUAGAUAAACUGAUCCAAGGGCACCUAAUUCAGUCAAACUGAUUUAAUGAUUUGAGAAUAAGAGAAAAGAUUAAUCAGCAAGUCAUAAAUCCUCCCACG
rnacentral:lncRNA from 1 species